rnacentral:hammerhead_ribozyme from 1 species
AUCCAUCUUAUGAGUGCGAAAUAGGAUGAAACGCACGUCCUGGAU